rnacentral:tRNA from 1 species
CGGAGUGGUAGUUCAGUUGGUUAGAAUACCGGCCUGUCACGCCGGGGGUCGCGGGUUNUAGGACAUCGCCAGGCUUUGA